rnacentral:rRNA from 1 species
UACGUAGGGCGCAAGCGUUGUCCGGAAUUAUUGGGCGUAAAGAGCUCGUAGGCGGCUUGUCACGUCGGGUGUGAAAGCCCGGGGCUUAACCCCGGGUCUGCAUUCGAUACGGGCUGGCUAGAGUGUGGUAGGGGAGAUCGGAAUUCCUGGUGUAGCGGUGAAAUGCGCAGAUAUCAGGAAGAACACCUAUGGCGAAGGCAGCUCUCUGGGACGGUACUGACGCUGAGACGCGAAAGCGUGGGGAGCGAACAGG